UACGUAGGGGGCAAGCGUUGUCCGGAUUUAUUGGGCGUAAAGAGCGUGUAGGCGGUUUGGUAGGUCCGCUGUGAAAACUCGAGGCUCAACCUCGAGACGCCGGUGGAAACCAUCAGACUAGAGUCCGGAAGAGGAGAGUGGAAUUCCUGGUGUAGCGGUGAAAUGCGCAGAUAUCAGGAGGAACACCGGUGGCGAAGGCGGGACUCUGGGCCGAUACUGACGCUGAGGAGCGAAAGCGUGGGGAGCAAACAGG
rnacentral:rRNA from 1 species